CCGAAUUCCUGGCAUGGCAAUGGACUGGCAAGGUGCACCGGCAAGCCCUAGUUCUUACACCGUGAAAAGGAUAUUGCGUCUGGAGAUUCCAUUCAAUUUUGUGGGAAGGCUUCUUGGCCCUAGAGGCAACUCAUUGAAACGCGUAGAAGCGACAACGGGCUGCCGCGUGUACAUCAGAGGGAAAGGAUCGAUUAAGGAUCCAGAGAAGG